rnacentral:rRNA from 1 species
UACAGAGGUCUCAAGCGUUGUUCGGAUUUAUUGGGCGUAAAGAGCUCGUAGGCGGUCUGUCACGUCGGCUGUGAAAACCCGGGGCUCAACCCCGGGCCUGCAGUCGAUACGGGCAGACUAGAGUGCGGUAGGGGAGACUGGAAUUCCUGGUGUAGCGGUGAAAUGCGCAGAUAUCAGGAGGAACACCGGUGGCGAAGGCGGGUCUCUGGGCCGUAACUGACGCUGAGGAGCGAAAGCGUGGGGAGCGAACAGG